CUGCCAUGAUCAUAAUGAACUAAACCUCUGAAACUAUUAUAGUAAAUCAUCACCAUUAAGUAAAACUAAAAACACUUACUGGCUAUCCAGAACUUGGUGAAGAGCAAGAAAUUGUGGGUUCCCAGAAUACAAUGAUGUCGACUGGAAGACUUCCAGGUGGGGCGUUCCUACUGUAACUGUUACCACAGGCAUCCAGGCUGAGACAGCAAAGAGGCAUCUCUGCUGGGCAACCCUAAAGGCUGAGCAUAAUCCAAGGCUAAUUACAAAUUACAAAGUAGCUUCAGGCAAACCUGGACUCAAAAGUAUCCACUGCUUCAAUCCUAAAGAGAAACAGGUACUAGAGAGUUCCAGAAUAUCAAUGUAAGCAGGCUUAACUCUAACACAAAAACUGCCU